rnacentral:rRNA from 1 species
GCCUAGACUCCUACGGGAGGCAGCAGUGGGGAAUAUUGCACAAUGGGGGGAACCCUGAUGCAGCGACGCCGCGUGGGUGAAGGAGCACCUCGGUGCGUAAAGCCCUAUCGGCAGGGAAGAAAAGCGAACAGGUUCGCCUGGACGGUACCUGACUAAGAAGCCCCGGCUAACUACGUGCCAGCAGCCGCGGUAAUACGUAGGGGGCGAGCGUUAUCCGGAUUCACUGGGUGUAAAGGGAGCGUAGACGGCCAUGCAAGCCAGGGGUGAAAGCCCGGGGCCCAACCCCGGGACUGCCCUUGGAACUGCAUGGCUGGAGUGCGGGAGGGGCAGGCGGAAUUCCUGGUGUAGCGGUGAAAUGCGUAGAUAUCAGGAGGAACACCGGCGGCGAAGGCGGCCUGCUGGACCGCGACUGACGUUGAGGCUCGAAAGCGUGGGGAGCGAACAGGAUUAGAUACCCCUGUAUU